UACGUAGGUGGCAAGCGUUGUCCGGAAUUAUUGGGCGUAAAGCGCGCGCAGGCGGUUUCUUAAGUCUGAUGUGAAAGCCCACGGCUCAACCGUGGAGGGUCAUUGGAAACUGGGGAACUUGAGUGCAGAAGAGGAAAGUGGAAUUCCAAGUGUAGCGGUGAAAUGCGUAGAGAUUUGGAGGAACACCAGUGGCGAAGGCGACUUUCUGGUCUGUAACUGACACUGAGGCGCGAAAGCGUGGGGAGCAAACAGG
rnacentral:rRNA from 1 species